rnacentral:tRNA from 1 species
GGGCCGUUAACUCAGUUGGAAGAGUACUGGAUUUUUAAUCCAGGAGUCGCGGGUUCGAAUCCCGCACGGCCUA